rnacentral:rRNA from 1 species
UUCCGGUUGAUCCUGCCGGACCCUACUGCUAUCGGGGUGGGACUAAGACAUGCGAGUUGAGCGUCUCUAAGCCAUGGUAGAGACGCGGCGUACGGCUCAGUAACACGUGGCUAACCUACCCUUAGGACGGGGACAACCCCGGGAAACUGGGGCUAAUACCCGAUAGGCGAGGAGGCCUGGAAUGGUUCUUAGUCGAAAAGGCGUUGAAACCAUGCUUUUCGACGUUGCCUAAGGAUGGGGCCGCGCCCGAUCAGGUUGUUGGUGGGGUAACGGCUCACCAAGCCUAUAACCGGUACGGGCCGUGAGAGCGGGAGCCCGGAGAUGGGCACUGAGACAAGGGCCCAGGCCCUACGGGGCGCAGCAGUCGCGAAAACUCCGCAAUGCGCGAAAGCGUGACGGGGCUACCCCGAGUGCCGUCCGCUGAGGAUGGCUUUUCUCCGGUGUAAUGAGCCGGGGGAAUAAGGAGAGGGCAAGUCUGGUGUCAGCCGCCGCGGUAAUACCAGCUCUCCGAGUGGUAGGGAUGAUUAUUGGGCUUAAAGCGUCCGUAGCCGGCUUAGCAAGUCUCCUGUUAAAUUCAGCGACCUAAUCGUUGAGCCGCGGGAGAUACUACUAGGCUAGGAGGCGGGAGAGGCCGACGGUAUUCUCGGGGUAGGGGUGAAAUCCUAUAAUCCCGGGAGGACCACCAGUGGCGAAGGCUGUCGGCUAGAACGCGCUCGACGGUGAGGGACGAAAGCUGGGGGAGCGAACCGGAUUAGAUACCCGGGUAGUCCCAGCUGUAAACGAUGCGGGCUAGGUGUUGGGGUGGCUACGAGCCACUUCAGUGCCGCAGGGAAGCCAUUAAGCCCGCCGCCUGGGGAGUACGGCCGCAAGGCUGAAACUUAAAGGAAUUGGCGGGGGAGCACCACAAGGCGUGAAGCUUGCGGUUCAAUUGGAGUCAACGCCGGG